GAAAAAACUAAUCUCUUUGUCCUCAUGGCACUCGCUAAGAACAAUACAGGAUGGACGACAGUCAUGCGUUCCAUAGCUAUAGCUUUCAUGGUGCUUUCUAUGAUGUGUUCUACCUUCCCAUCCUGCCAUGCAGGCACUGAAUCUGUUCAUAAUGUGGUUUGUGAGACUCUCAAUCCCUGUGAUAGCCCGAGGUGCGAAGACAUGUGUAAUCAUAUAAUGCAUCACCGAUUCAGGCACUAUUGCAAGACCCAUAAUGUUCAAAUUCCAAAUUGUUGUUGUAUAGAACAAUAAUAUAAUUGCCUGUUCUCCUGCUUGAGCCAUGCAAUAUUGAAUAAGUUUAUUUAAUAAAUUGAUAUCAAUAAAGAUGUUUUCCAGUAA